UCCGGAAAGCGAGGUCAGAGGUUAUCACCUCAAGGAGUUCGACGUCACGUCUUUUAUCUCUUCAUAAAUGAGAGGGGCAGUUUCGCUUUAUCUCCAACACCCAUCAACAAAGUACACGUGUUUGGGAACUUGAGCCAAAACAGAGCCAGGAAGUAGAUCAAGAUGGAUGGUGGUUCAGCUUCACACCUACCUGUUGAUAAGGGAUGGGCCUGGAUGACAGUGUUAGGUUGUUUUGUUAUGCACAUAUUUGUGGUUGGUUCUUUCAAGUCCCUAGGAAUCCUGUUUGUAGAGAUUCUGACUACCUUUGAGACCAGUAAUGCCCUGACUGCAUGGAUCCCAGCUGUUCUGGGGGGACUCAUGUGUCUG